GUUAAGUGGAAAUGCUUCACUCAGAGGGCUGUGAGGCCCCGGCACAGCUGCCCAGAGAGCUGUGGGUGCCCCAUCCCUGGAGGCACCCUGAGCUGAAGGCAGCUGCCCUUCCCAUGGCAGGGGGUUGGAGCUUCAGGGCUUUCAGGCCCCUUCCAACCCAAGCCGUUCUGGGAUAUUUAUUUUUUUUCUGGGAAGCAGGGCUGAAACCUGAGCUCAUCUUCCGUUUUUCAGCUGCUGGCUCCAGGCAGGAAGCUUCUUGUCCUCAGGCCCUGAUUGCCACCGCUGGCAGGAGGCAGAGGUGAAGCGUUGUGCCCAUGUCAUCCUCUAGCCCUUCACACUUUGGCGUUUGGCAUUUGGAUGAUGGUAUGGAAGCUUCACAAGGGCCAAAGCUUUUUGCUGGAAUAUUCUGAGGGAAGACAACUUCAUUGAGAACUCGUUGAUCAGUCAGGAAACUCAGGCAAUGCUCUGCUAGUAAUGCUCUCCAAAGAACAAAGGCAACACUGCAUCUCUAGAAUUGAUAGAAUUAACAUGAUAAGAGGACCUCUCAGGACCAAUUUGGCAGUUCUCUGAUACAGUGUGUCCGAGCACAGAGGGAGGACUUGAAAUCGCAGGGCUCGAGGAACCAGAUGUGGCCUCAGUGAAUGAUGAGAGGAACCGAGCACUCCCUAAGUGUGACCCCAACUCUACAGUAAGACAAGACUUAGAAUAAAAUUUUUGGAUGCACGUUAUGUACUAAAAUGAUUUGAACACUCAGAAAACUUCCAUAACAGGAGCCGUCUCUUGAUAGUUACAUUAUUCACCUCUUUUCUGUUUUUUGAUAAACUUGUUGUAAAUGAAAAUAAAGUUUAAGUGACUGUCAACUUGUGGAGCUAGACAAAACAUGAGCAGAUAAAGUACAUAAGGAAAGAAUAGCAUAGGCUGGAUCUUUGUUACACUUAUCCAACACCAUGUGCAUUGAAGAAAGCCUCUGACCAGACAAUAACAAUUAAUGAAGUUGAGAGCAAG
ensembl:lncRNA